CAAAAUUAAGAAAAUCCUGUUUUUCAUUUUUUUCAAUAUAUGUCCCAGUUACCAUGGAAACGAGGAUGCAAAUCCCCAACUUGCUGAAUUUUCAAAAAAGUAGGGGUGCAUGCCUAUUUUGUUAUCUGGAAAGUACUAGAAAGUGUCCUUUAUUUUCGUACUUGCAAAUUUUAAAGGCAAAUGAACAAGGUUUCAUACCAAACUAAUAUUUCCAAAUAUUUAUUUGAUUCUUGUAUGAUCUAGACUUUUAUCUGCAAGAAAAAAUAUAUUUAUGGAGCAAAACAUAUGUUUAUAUUGUGCUCUACAUCUUGAAAAGUGCACAGGUCUCAGCAGAAAAGUAUAUUUGUUUGUUUAAAGGGAAGAUGUUAUUUCAAAAAGAAACAUAAAUCGUAGUGGGUCAUUCAGACACAUUCUUGUAGAUUUGGGCCAAAGUUUAUGAUUUGGGGCAUUUUUCCUAUUUUUAUUACCUCCCCUUGAUGCUCUUCAUUUAGGAAAUCACAAAGAGCUUAUCUAAGUUUACUUCCUGGAUUAUGCUGAAUUCAGAUUUCUACUCGGAUUUUGCAAAUUUUUAGUAUAUAGAUACAAUGACAGUCAGAGAUUUUAUGCUAAAUGGGCAUGGGAUGCUUGGAUGUGUCCCUUCAAACCAAGUCCACGUUUAAAAUUUGCUGAAUAGCGACAUUGUUUGGGAAAAAUACAUCAGUCUGACAUCUGUGUGUUUAUUUCUAUAAGUGAAGUUUGUAUCAACUGACUGAAGGAUCAGUGUUAAAGGAUAACACUACAAUGAAAACAGCUGUGAGUUGUUUCUUUUGAAAAUGACUGCUUGAUGAUAAAGUUUCAAACAACUAUGAAGUGAGUGGAUGUUCUAGAGAGACUAAUUCUUCAAAGAAUGAAUGAUCAUCAUCAUGCUUAUAUUGGAAUAAAAGGAAGGAAGUGACAGCUACAGUCAGGGUAAAAGUAAAUGCAGUCAGAAGACCUCUGAUAUCACCUGAAGAGCCAGCCUUCUCAAGAUUCUGUAUCAAAUAAAAAUAACAAGGACUGCUAAAAA